rfam:Ciona savignyi cont_37273, whole genome shotgun sequence.
CCCCGGUUAGCUCAGCCGGUAGAGCGUUGGACUUUUAAUCCAACGAUCAAGGCUUGAAGUACAUUAUUGGGCU